rnacentral:rRNA from 1 species
AGCAGUGGGGAAUAUUGGACAAUGGGCGAAAGCCUGAUCCAGCCAUGCCGCGUGUGUGAAGAAGGUCUUCGGAUUGUAAAGCACUUUAAGUUGGGAGGAAGGGCAUUAACCUAAUACGUUAGUGUUUUGACGUUACCGACAGAAUAAGCACCGGCUAACUCUGUGCCAGCAGCCGCGGUAAUACAGAGGGUGCAAGCGUUAAUCGGAAUUACUGGGCGUAAAGCGCGCGUAGGUGGUUUGUUAAGUUGGAUGUGAAAUCCCCGGGCUCAACCUGGGAACUGCAUUCAAAACUGACUGACUAGAGUAUGGUAGAGGGUGGUGGAAUUUCCUGUGUAGCGGUGAAAUGCGUAGAUAUAGGAAGGAACACCAGUGGCGAAGGCGACCACCUGGACUGAUACUGACACUGAGG